rnacentral:rRNA from 1 species
UUGGACCUGAUAUCAGGCAAGAUUACCCGCUGAACUUAAGCAUAUCAAUAAGCGGAGGAAAAGAAACUAACAAGGAUUCCCCUAGUAACGGCGAGUGAAGCGGGAAGAGCUUCAAGUUUUAGAU